CAGUCGCCGCGGGAAUACGUAGGUGGCAAGCGUUGUCCGGAAUUAUUGGGCGUAAAGGGCUCGCAGGCGGUUUCUUAAGUCUGAUGUGAAAGCCCCCGGCUCAACCGGGGAGGGUCAUUGGAAACUGGGAAACUUGAGUGCAGAAGAGGAGAGUGGAAUUCCAUGUGUAGCGGUGAAAUGCGCAGAGAUAUGGAGGAACACCAGUGGCGAAGGCGACUUUCUGGUCUGUAACCGACGCUGAUGUGCGAAAGCGUGGGGAUCAAACAGGAUUAGAUACCCGUGUAGUCCCUGUCUCUUAUAA
rnacentral:rRNA from 1 species